UGCCUCCCAAGAAGCAGGUUGGUCUUCAGUAAGGCUCCUGGACUCUGGAGAACCUUCCCUCCUUUUGCAGUCAACUCUCAGAGGGAUAAUGGAAUUUCAAGGCCAAUGCACACAUUAUACCCGCAAUAUGGAUGAUUCACCACCUGGUGACAGACAGUGGAAGACAUCUGGAGCUUCUUUCAUUCUUGUUCAGCAAAUGCCUUUACAAUGUUAAGCAAAAUAACUGGGCUUUGCCUGUAACAGCUUCUUUAUUUGAAUUAAACUCACAACUGUUGAGCCAUAAGGUAAUAAAUUGACAUGAGGUUUCUUUAUUUUCUGACUUAUUGAAGUAGUAAAUCUUUAAUUGUAUGAUUUUCUUUAGCAAGUGAGGGCUACCUUUCUUAAA